rnacentral:rRNA from 1 species
GACGAACGCUGGCGGCGUGCUUAACACAUGCAAGUCGAACGGAAAGGCCCUGCUUUUGUUGGGUGCUCGAGUGGCGAACGGGUGAGUAACACGUGAGUAACCUGCCCUUGACUUUGGGAUAACUUCAGGAAACUGGGGCUAAUACCGGAUAUGAGCUCCUGCUGCAUGGUGGGGGUUGGAAAGUUUCGGCGGUUGGGGAUGGACUCGCGGCUUAUCAGCUUGUUGGUGGGGUAGUGGCUUACCAAGGCUUUGACGGGUAGCCGGCCUGAGAGGGUGACCGGCCACAUUGGGACUGAGAUACGGCCCAGACUCCUACGGGAGGCAGCAGGGGGGAAUAUUGCACAAUGGGCGGAAGCCUGAUGCAGCAACGCCGCGUGCGGGAUGACGGCCUUCGGGUUGUAAACAGCUUUCGCCUGUGACGAAGCGUGAGUGACGGUAAUGGGUAAAGAAGCACCGGCUAACUACGUG